rnacentral:rRNA from 1 species
AGCGAACGCUGGCGGCAGGCUUAACACAUGCAAGUCGAACGAAGCCUUCGGGCUUAGUGGCGGACGGGUGAGUAACACGUGGGAACGUACCUUUUGGUUCGGAACAACGCAGGGAAACUUGAGCUAAUACCGGAUGAGCCCUUAGGGGGAAAGAUUUAUCGCCGAAAGAGCGGCCCGCGUUAGAUUAGCUAGUUGGUGAGGUAAAGGCUCACCAAGGCUACGAUCUAUAGCUGGUCUGAGAGGAUGAUCAGCCACACUGGGACUGAGACACGGCCCAGACUCCUACGGGAGGCAGCAGUGGGGAAUCUUGCGCAAUGGGCGAAAGCCUGACGCAGCCAUGCCGCGUGAAUGAUGAAGGUCUUAGGAUUGUAAAAUUCUUUUACCAGGGACGAUAAUGACGGUACCUGGAGAAAAAGCCCCGGCUAACUUCGUGCCAGCAGCCGCCGUAACAC